rnacentral:rRNA from 1 species
UAGCCUACGGGGGGCAGCAGUGGGGGAUAUUGCACAAUGGGGGAAACCCUGAUGCAGCGACGCCGCGUGUGGGAAGACGGUCCUCUGGAUUGUAAACCACUGUCCCCAGGGACGAAGAUGACGGUACCUGGGGAGGAAGCUCCGGCUAACUACGUGCCAGCAGCCGCGGUAAUACGUAGGGGGCAAGCGUUAUCCGGAUUUACUGGGUGUAAAGGGAGCGUAGACGGCGAUGCAAGUCUGAAGUGAAAGGCGGGGGCUCAACCCCUGGACUGCUUUGGAAACUGUAUGGCUGGAGUGCAGGAGAG